CUCUUAAAAUAAAGCCUAGCGUCAUAAUCCCUCCACGUUUUUUCAAAGAAAAACAUGCAUUUCAAGGCGCUAUGGAUUUCAAAGACCAUGGAUUUACUCAGAACUUAUGGGUUUUAAAAAAGGCUUUAAAAGGAAAUAACUAAAAAACUUUUCCAGUAAUUUAAGAUGAUACCGGGGAAGGUUUUCCGGUUUAUCCCGGAGGGCUUGUAGCUCAGUUGGUUAGA
rnacentral:misc_RNA from 1 species